rnacentral:ncRNA from 1 species
AAAAAUGCGUAUCAGCAAAAGUACCCGCGUUUGCGUACUACAGAGAGGAGCCGUUCGGUGCAAGGCUUCGUUCGGGCGCGGUGAAGUGCGGCUGACAGCAGGGAGUGAGGAAAGAUGACGAGUAUUCCUCCCCGUUACCCCGCGUUAAGGGGAAACAAGGCUGUGUAAAGAAAUGCACAGCAAAGCGGAGUGGGACCGCGUGUGAGAGAUCAUUCGCCUCCGAA